rnacentral:rRNA from 1 species
GAUGAACGCUGGCGGCGUGCUUAACACAUGCAAGUCGAACGGAAAGGCUCCUGCUUGCAGGGGUACUCGAGUGGCGAACGGGUGAGUAACACGUGGGUGAUCUGCCCUGCACUUCGGGAUAAGCCUGGGAAACUGGGUCUAAUACCGGAUAGGACCACAUUUUGGAUGGUGUGGUGGAAAGUUUUUCGGUGUGGGAUGAGCUCGCGGCCUAUCAGCUUGUUGGUGGGGUAAUGGCCUACGAAGGCGUCGACGGGUAGCCGGCCUGAGAGGGUGUACGGCCACAUUGGGACUGAGAUACGGACCAGACUCCAACGGGAGGCAGCAGUGGAGAAUAUUGCACAAUAGGCGCAAGCCUGUUACAGCGACGCCGCGUGGGUGAUGACGGCCUUCGAGUUGUAAACACCUUUCGCUAGGGACGAAGCGCAAGUGACGGUACCUAGAGAAAAAGCACCGGCUAACUACGUG